AUACGGAAGGCAGCAGUAAGGAAUAUUGGGCAAUGGAGGCAACUCUGACCCAGCCAUGCCGCGUGCAGGAAGACGGUCCUCUGGAUUGUAAACUGCUUUUGAAUGGGAAGAAUGUGUGGCUUGCGAGCUAUAAUGACGGUACCAUUAGAAUAAGCCACGGCUAACUACGUGCCAGCAGCCGCGGUAAUACGUAGGUGGCGAGCGUUAUCCGGAUUUAUUGGGUUUAAAGGGUGCGUAGGCGGCUUUAUAAGUCUGUGGUUAAAGGUAGCAGCUUAACUGUUUUACAUGCCAUAGAUACUGUAGAGCUUGAGUUAUUUGGAGGCAGCUAGAAUUUCCGGUGUAGCGGUGAAAUGCAUAGAUACCGGAAGGAAUACCGAUUGCGAAGGCAGGUUGCUACAAAUAUACUGACGCUGAUGCACGAAAGCGUGGGGAUCAAACAGGAUUAGAUACCCGUGUAGUCCG
rnacentral:rRNA from 1 species